rnacentral:lncRNA from 1 species
UAUUCUUUGAUCUUAUACAUUGAAGUGAUAUCACAUCUUUCAUUUUAUUUCUCAUAGUUUUAUAUUUGAUCAGAAUAUGAUUGUUCAUUUUUUUGUUUGAUAUCUAUUGAUUUAACAGAUCUAUUAGAGCUCUACAAUCACAAUUUAUUGGUACUAUAGAUAUUUUGAAUGGAAGAAUUUCAAUAUCAUUAAUUAAAUCUUUUAGCCACUAUGCUUCAGUGUAAGUAAUGUCAAGAGCAGUUAAUUCAAAUUCUAAUGUACUUCUUGUUAUUAUUGUUUGUUUACAUGAACCCC